rnacentral:sRNA from 1 species
UCUUAGCCCCGAUUGCAGCGACAUCCUUUUUUUGCGUUGGCUUGAAAAAAGCGUUGGCAAAAAAGAUAUAGCGGAAAGCGGGAUUUAGC